GAUGAACGCUAGCUACAGGCUUAACACAUGCAAGUCGAGGGACCGGCGCACGGGUGAGUAACACGUAUCCAACCUGCCCUUUACUCGGGGAUAGCCUUUCGAAAGAAAGAUUAAUACCCGAUCUAAAGGAUGGGGAUGCGUUCGAUUAGGUUGUUGGUGAGGUAACGGCUCACAAAGCCUUCGAUGGAAAGGGGUUCUGAGAGGAAGGUCACCGACAUGUGAACUGCGAAACGAUGCACACUCCUACGGGGGGCAGCAGUGGGGAGUAUUAUUCAAUGGGCGCUAGCCUGAACCAGCCAAGGAGCGUGAAGGAUGAAGGCUUUUUGGGCGUAAACUUCUUUUAUAUAAGAAUAUGUAUUAUAUGAAUAAGGAUCGGCUAACUCCGUGCCAGCCGCCGCGGUAAUAC
rnacentral:rRNA from 1 species